GACGAACGCUGGCGGCGCGCCUAACACAUGCAAGUCGAACGGAGCUGCGAGAAGCUUGCUUUUCUUAGCUUAGUGGCGAACGGGUGAGUAACGCGUGAGUAACCUGCCCUGGAGUGGGGGACAACAGUUGGAAACGACUGCUGAUACCGCAUAAGCCCACGAUCCGGCAUCGGAUUGAGGGAAAAGGAUUUAUUCGCUUCAGGAUGGACUCGCGUCCAAUUAGCUAGUUGGUGAGGUAACGGCCCACCAAGGCGACGAUUGGUAGCCGGACUGAGAGGUUGAACGGCCACAUUGGGACUGAGACACGGCCCAGACUCCUACGGGAGGCAGCAGUGGGGGAUAUUGCACAAUGGGGGAAACCCUGAUGCAGCGACGCCGCGUGGAGGAAGAAGGUUUUCGGAUUGUAAACUCCUGUCGUUAGGGACGAUAAUGACGGUACCUAACAAGAAAGCACCGGCUAACUACGUG
rnacentral:rRNA from 1 species